UAGUAUGAUUUAAUGAAAAUUGUAACAGGCGUAGAGAUUCCACACAUCUCCACACCACACACGAACGAUUUUAAAUGCAGAAGCACAUAUUCUUAGGAAAAGCAAAAGAAGAAAGUCCUUUUUCCAGAUGGGAAAUAAUGAGAGGAUAAAUGAUUAAACUACGAAUUCGGUGAGCUCGAAUCAGAAAAGAAAGGUCAAUUUGAAAGAGAAGCUGGCCCCAAAGAAUUUAUACCAAAGCAAAUUUACAACUUCCCAUAUUAUUUCUCUCCACUUCUCUCUCUCUAUAUAUGUCUCUAAUGGCUAUGAAUUCCCCAAGUGAAACAGAGAGAGAAAAAAUCAGGAGACAAAUGGGUUGGUUAAUAAGAGAAAGAAGAGGGCCAGCAUGGAAACAAGGAUGGGCAGAACAAGCUUUAUCCUCCAUAACUCCACCACCAAGACCUCUCCUUGCAAUACUUGGAAUCUUGGUCAUUCUUCUAUCUGUUUCAUCAUAUUCAAGCUACAGGUCUCAGAACAAAGCUCGAACCGGUUUACGUCACGGAAGGUGCUGCUUCAGCUUCGCCUUGGGGUGCGGCGGUUUUGCUGGUGGUGUUGUUGGUCUUGUUAUCUUAUCAGCCUUACUUUCACUCUAAGUGGUUUCCAGCAAUAUGGAGACCAUAUUAUUAUUAAGUCAUGAUGAAGCUUUGGUUUAUAUCGAUCAUGUAAGGUCCCCUUAUAGUAUGUUGUUCCUCCACAGCCAAAAAAGAGAGAAAAAAUGAUGUAAUUUCAGAGAAGAAAUGACAGAUCCAUAACAAAAAAAAAAAGGGUUUAUGUUAGGCUGGUUAGAAGUUAUUGACGAUUAUUGUUUAUAGGCAGAGAUAAGUGAUGAACAUAGAACACAGAGAGAUAAACAGAGAUAUCUGUAGAAGAACAACUUACACUUACAUGGCUAAUACUACCUUCUCAAUAAUUUCACUAGUUA